AACGAACGCUGGCGGCAUGCCUAACACAUGCAAGUCGAACGGGACCUCCGGGUCUAGUGGCGCACGGGUGCGUAACGCGGGGGAACCUGCCCUUAGGUUCGGAAUAACCCCCCGAAAGGGGGGCUAAUACCGGAAAAUGUCUUCGGACCAAAGAUUUAUCGCCUUUGGAUGGGCCCGCGUUGGAUUAGCUAGUUGGUAGGGUAAAAGCCUACCAAGGCGACGAUCCAUAGCUGGUCUGAGAGGAUGAUCAGCCACACUGGGACUGAGACACGGCCCAGACUCCUACGGGAGGCAGCAGUGGGGAAUAUUGGACAAUGGGCGAAAGCCUGAUCCAGCAAUGCCGCGUGAGUGAUGAAGGCCUUAGGGUUGUAAAGCUCUUUUACCCGGGAUGAUAAUGACAGUACCGGGAGAAUAAGCUCCGGCUAACUCCGUG
rnacentral:rRNA from 1 species